GAUCCUGGCUCAGGAUGAACGCUAGCGACAGGCCUAACACAUGCAAGUCGAGGGGCAACAUGGUAUCAGCUUGCUGAUACCGAUGGCGACCGGCGCACGGGUGAGUAACGCGUAUGUAAUCUACCUGUAACAGAGGGAUAACCCGGAGAAAUCCGGACUAAUACCUCAUAGCCCAUAUUAUUCGCAUGAAUUUUAUGUUAAAGAGACUCGGUUACAGAUGAACAUGCGUUCCA
rnacentral:rRNA from 1 species